GAAACCGACCACCAACCAUUGGUUACCAUCCACAACAAGCCCUUUCACACGAUCCCAGCACGAUUGCAAAGAAUGAUGCUCAGACUACAGAAGUUCAACCGAACACUCGUCUACAAGAAAGGUAAACAUUUCUACAUUGCGGACACACUCUCCCACCCCAAGGCUGAACACUCCCCCAUUAAAAGAGGAGCAGCGCGAUUCUGAAGUCAUGACGCUUCAACUCAUUUCACCCAAACGUCUACAAGAGCUGGCAGGACACACAAAGACCCAGUUCUUCAGACACUGACGCGCUCCAUCCAACAAGGUUGGCCCACACGGCUCUUCUACAGGAAGUGUACUUACAGGAACUACACAAAGGCCAUCCAGGCAUGGAGUCUGUGAAAAGAAGGGCAAGAGACACUGUUUUCUGGUUCACAAGCAACUCUGACAUCAAGG